rnacentral:rRNA from 1 species
UGGGGAAUAUUGGACAAUGGGCGAAAGCCUGAUCCAGCCAUGCCGCGUGUGUGAAGAAGGUCUUCGGAUUGUAAAGCACUUUAAGUUGGGAGGAAGGGCAGUAAGUUAAUACCUUGCUGUUUUGACGUUACCGACAGAAUAAGCACCGGCUAACUCUGUGCCUAG